UGGUUCCGGCAUCGAUGAAGAACGCAGCGAAAUGCGAUACGUAGUGUGAAUUGCAGAAUUCCGUGAAUCAUCGAGUCUUUGAACGCACAUUGCGCCCGUUGGCAUUCCGACGGGCACGCCUGUUCGAGCGUCAUUACACCCUCACGCCUCGCGUGGUCUUGGGCGCCCGCUGCGGCGGGCCCCUAAACUCGUGGGCAGCCGGACCGUUCCCGCGCGCGACGCACUCGCAACGCGGCCGGACGGCUCGCCUCCUUUUUUUCGUAACAUGUUGACCUCGGAUCAGGCGGGGAUACCCGCUGA
rnacentral:misc_RNA from 1 species